GUUCGUUGUGAAUUUACAGGAAGACAAUGACGAUUCCAACAAAUUUGUUGUGUUGUUUGACCGAUAAAUGAUGUCAAAGAGCCGUUGAUCAAACCCCACUUAUGAUCUCAGCAAACACAUUCUGUCUUUCACAAUUAUGAUGCCAGUGAUUGCAAAAUUGCUGAAAAAUAAAACGUGGACCGCAGAAUGGACCAAAAUUGUCUAAGUAACUCAAGUAAAUCAGAAUCAAGGGUGCACCACAUGCAUAUGAGUUC
rnacentral:lncRNA from 1 species